AGAAAAUUAGUUAAAAUAAUAACAUUAAUAUGUCAUAUUAAAAUUAUUACAACAAAUAAUAUUUUCUA
rnacentral:tRNA from 1 species